UACGGGGGGUGCGAGCGUUAAUCGGAAUUACUGGGCGUAAAGCGUGCGCAGGCGGUGAUGUAAGACAGUUGUGAAAUCCCCGGGCUCAACCUGGGAAUUGCAUCUGUGACUGCAUCGCUAGAGUACGGUAGAGGGGGAUGGAAUUCCGCGUGUAGCAGUGAAAUGCGUAGAUAUGCGGAGGAACACCGAUGGCGAAGGCAAUCCCCUGGACCUGUACUGACGCUCAUGCACGAAAGCGUGGGGAGCAAACAGG
rnacentral:rRNA from 1 species